rnacentral:tRNA from 1 species
AGCUCAGCUGGUUAGAGCACCUGACUCAUAAUCAGGGGGUCCAUGGUUCGAGCCCAUGUGGGACCA